rnacentral:misc_RNA from 1 species
UCUCCGUUGGUGAACCAGCGGAGGGAUCAUUACCGAGUUAUCAACUCCCAAACCCCUGUGAACAUACCCAACUUUGCUUCGGCGGGACCGCCCCGGCGCCCUCGGCGUCCCGGAACCAGGCGCCCGCCGGAGGACCCAAACUCUUGUUUAAACCAUAGUGGAAUAUUCUGAGUCUCACAAGAGAAAUGAAUCAAAACUUUCAACAACGGAUCUCUUGGCUCUG